GGAAGGCAAGGACCCUUUCCGCAAAUUCAAACUCAUACUGGUUGCUCAUGUCUUCGCCUGUGACCCAUUGGAAUACGGACGGGGAUGGUAGUGUCUAGGUUGAACAAUGUGGAAUGCUUUUUGGCCUCAAAUGAAAACGAACCAUCGUGGACGGAAUGGAUUUAUAUCUUGGACGAAUAAGAUCGAAAGCAAGAUGAGACUGGUCUGAAAUAUUUCAUUAGCAUGGGCUCCCACAGACAGUCAAUCUAUUUUAUCAAGAAAUCGGUCUCAGUCCAAGUUCAUUAGAGCUUUUUAUCAUCUCGUCUUGAAAAUGAGCUACUUGACCAAACGAUACAACCGUCAUGCCCUGUUUAACGAAUAAAUAUUUUUCCAACGGC